CAUUGCUAGAAGUGGCCAAAACAUAGUAAGCAACGAUGUGACCAAUAGAACCCCAAGCAAGAACAUCCACGAUGUUGAAUCCAACAGGGUCGUUCGAUUUCAAGAGGCUUACGUACUCCUUGGCACGAUCAUCUCCCGCUUCGAAGUGGGUCUUCCCGUUCUGCUCCGGCACCUGUUUAGCCACAUUCUCUCUCUGGAAGUUGAAGAAGACGAACCGGCCUAGGAAGAGGGAGAGACCUGUGCUGAGGCUAAUAACGACGGAUGGGCUGAGCUCGGCUCUCACGACGGCGGAGGAGGAAGAUCUUCUUCCGGAGGUGGUGGAUAGCUUGGGUAAGGCAGAUGAGGAGCCACCGAGGCGGAGAGGACGGAGG
rnacentral:lncRNA from 1 species